rnacentral:rRNA from 1 species
AUGGCCAAAGAUAAGUUGGCCAUCGUGACCAGGGUCUCCGGCGAGAUCGGCGACCUUGGCGUCAAGCUCAUGUACCUCAAGAACUUCCUUGCAGAUGCUAAUAGGAGGGGCAUCGCUGACGAGAGCAUGCGGAGGUGGGUGGAGGAACUGAAGCGUGCCAUGUACGACGACGUAACUGACAUCCUCGACCGGUGUCGGCGCAAGGUCACGGAGUAG